rnacentral:rRNA from 1 species
UACGGGGGGGGGCAAGCGUUGUUCGGAAUUACUGGGCGUAAAGGGCUUGUAGGUGGCCAACUAAGUCAGACGUGAAAUCCCUCAGCUUAACUGGGGAACUGCUUCUGAUACUGGAUGGCUUGAGUUUGGGAGAGGGAUGCGGAAUUCAGGUGUAGCGGUGAAAUGCGUAGAUAUCUGGAGGAACACCGGUGGCGAAGGCGGCAUCCUGGACCAACACUGACACUGAAAAGCGAAAGCCAGGGGAGCAAACGGG